ensembl:lncRNA FAM157C family with sequence similarity 157 member C
AGCCUCCCGAGUAGCUGGGAUUACAGGCAUGUGCCACCACACCCGGCUAAUGUUGUAGUUUUAGUAGAGACGGGGUUUCCCUAUGUUGGUUAGGCUGGUCUCAAACUCCUGACCUCAGGUGAUCUACCCGCCUCGGCCUCUCAAAGUGCUGGGAUCACAGGCGUGAGCCAUCACUCCUGGCCUAAUUUUUGUAUUUUUAGUAGAGAGAGGGUUUCACUCUGUUGGCCAGGCUGGUCUCGAAUUCCUGACCUCAAGUUAUCUGCCUGCCUUGGCCUCCCAAACUGUUGGAAUUACAGGCGUGAACCACCAUGCCUGGCCAGCUCUAUUUCUUUAAGCCUACAUGUUUUGCACUUGUUAAAAGUAUUUGAACAUACAAUUACUCAGCUUCCCUUGUUUACGCGUGAAUUUUGUAGAAUCUUAAAUAUUUUUUCCAAUCUAAGCUUUAUUUUAUCCCGUUUCUUCUAUAUUUGUAUAACUUUAGGCGGCUAUCUUCAUUGAAAGUUUUUUCUCAAAAGCCUUAAGAUAGAACGUAGUUCUUGGCAGCAAUUUGAAAGUUAUUUGAGGAGAAGGGGAGACUUACAAUGAUGAUUCAAAUGAAGGAAACUAAAAAGUAAUGAAGCAAGGCAGAGGAAAAAGCAGUACUCACUUGAGCACAUCCCAAAAGAAUAACAUUUCAAAUGUAACUAGAAAAAAGUAUGCUGAAGUUCGCAAUACAGAAAUAAUUAUUAAUAAGAUAGCUUUAAAGCCCUGCUCAGCUUUUGAAUGUUGGGAAUUGACCCAGAGGUGGCUGUAACCUAAGAUGGUUCCUUCAGUAAUGACCAUUUUUUCUUUUUCAAGAUGAUGAUUAUUCCCCACCUUCUAAGAGACAAAGACCAACGAGCCACCACAGCCACCAGUCCCAGAACCUGCCAAUGCUGGGGAACGGAAAAUGAGGGAGUUCAACUCUGGCCCUCACAAUCCAGUGGAGGAGACGAAACUCAUCUGCCUCUGUCCCUCUGGGCACGCCUCAUGCCAGGUGCAUCUGUGGACAGGGGCCAUGCUCCUGGGCUUCCAAAGUUGGAGAAAGCUGCCAGGCUCAGGUCUGAAGGCCAGAAUUCUACAGUAAGUCCUACUGAGUCAAGGUGGGAGCAGGGUCGGUAGCUUCCGAGGCUCUGCGGGAGAAUCCGUUUCCUGGCCGUAGAGGUGGCCUGCACUCCGCAGCUUGUGCUGCCCGUCUCGAAUGACUGGAGUUUCCUGCUUCUGUCACUACACCUCCCACCCUCUCCAUCACCUGCUCUGCUCUUACAAGGAUCCGAAGAAAUGGAAUCAUCGUAUCGCUGAUCUACGUAAACAAACUGAAGAAUUGUCUGAAAGAAAAUAUGACAUGAACUUAUGAAUUCAACAGGUGAAGAUUUACAACUUGAUAAAUCAACUUUGUCAGUAACAAUUUGGACAAGACAGCAAAUGCUAUUGUCCAAGUUUUCUAAAGAAGAAUCUGAAGUGAAAUGACAUCAAGAGACCUAUCAAGACCUGUAUCCAGGAAAAGACCAAACCAAUGCAGACCAAACCAAUGCAGAACUCCUAUGUGCUGAUGGUGGUCUUACAUUUCCCUAAGUUUCUGCCGACUAAACUGUGCACACGUUCUCAGGACCUCCUGAAGCUGCGUCACAGGCACUAAUCAAAGAACACAACCAAGAGUUUGGCCUUUUCUUCAGCACUGGGAAUUGUGAUCCAAAGCUUUUCCUGAUGAAGCACAAAGUUGGAGAAAAAAAACGCAAACUAAACAACAACAAUGAAACAGAACAGAGUGAAUCUGCUGUAGCUCAAGAGAGGACGUAGCUGCCCCCACUCCGCAUCCCCGGGCUCGGGUUUGCCUUGCUGACCUCUGCUGCCACCUGGUGCCGCACAGAGAAACUGAGGAGAAACCACAUCAGUCUCCUUCAGCCUCAGCUUCACAUCUGUGGGUCAAGUAACCCUUUCAGAAGCUGAAUAAUGUGGGAAAGCUUUCCUCUCAGGAAAAUGCACACAUCCAACUUUGAGAAGAUGCCCUUGGGGGCGCUUCAAGGAUUCUAGAUAAUAACCCCCUUUCCCGAACAUCCAAGAACCUAAGAUUUUUUUUUUUUUUUUGAGAAAGUCUCGCUCUCUCUCCCAGUCUGGAGUGCAGUGGCGUGAUCUUGGCUCACUGCCAGCUCCACCUCCCAGGUUCACGCCAUUCUCCUGCUUCAGCCUCCCUAGUAGCUGGGGCUACAGGCACCUGCCACCAAACCCGGCUAAUUUUUUUGUAUUUUUAGUAGAGACGGGGUUUCACCGUGUUAGCCAGGAUCGUCUUGAUCUCCUGACCUUGUGAUCCACCCGCCUCGGCCUCCCAAAUUGCUGGGAUUACAGAUGUGAGCCACCGCACCUGGUCCAAGAGCCCAAGUUUUAGAUCUAGAGUGAUGUCAGCAUGACAUUGAUUUCCUGAGGCCCAGGGGCGAAGGAGCUGAGGACAGCAGAGGGGUGAAGGAACUCAGCUACAGACAGCAGCAGCUGAUGCACAGGCCUCCCAGCGCCUGAAGUCACCCGGAAUUGGGAAGUGCUCAGAAGCUUACAAAGCUGCCUCGAGGUGGGAACAUGACAUAAAUCCAAGAGCAGAUCCCUGAUCCUAUAAAAAUGUACUAGAUGCAGUGGGGGCAUUUUAAAUGAGCAGAGAAGGACAGACAGAUAAACAGAAGGACAAACAGUAUUGGGAUU